rnacentral:rRNA from 1 species
UCGGAACAUACCCUAGAGUGGGGGAGUAACGUAGCGAAAGUUACGCUAAUACCGCAUACGCACUAAGGUGGAAAGCAGGGGAUCGCAAGACCUUGCGCUCAUGGAGUGGCCGAUGUCAGAUUAGCUAGUUGGUGGGGUAAAAGCCUACCAAGGCGACGAUCUGUAGCUGGUCUGAGAGGACGACCAGCCACACUGGAACUGAGACACGGUCCAG